GAGUGUCUGUUUUUUAUCACAAUCCAACUUAUAAUAAAAUGGAACAGCUUGAUAACGCAUAAUGAGACUGAAUGCAGUUAUUUCAAAUUGAGGCAGAACAUUCUUUCCACUUUUUGUUGUUUUGCUUUUUCACCUUCAGUUUGUUUUUCGUUUUAAAGCAUAACAAGGAUGUUUUUUUUUUUUAUUUUGCUUGUCAGAAUGAACAGAGUACUUUCAGCUGCAUGCACUAUUAGCAGCCAAAAUUUACAUUAACAAACUGGUGCAAAAAAAAAAAAAAUUAACUAACAUUGGUUUUACUUUAUUGCAGAUAUAUUUUUUUCUGAGAUUGACCAUUUCCUCAAAAUUCUUUGAAUUUGACUGUUUUCUUCUGCAUUUUGUUGAUGAAUUUAUGUGAUGAAUAUUUCUGUGAGGAAAAGAAACACAUCAACAUGUUUCAAAGGGAGCUGAUCUCGCUUUUGCUGCAGCCCCACUUGCAGCAGGCGUUGGACAGACCCACCACGACGUCCCUGCCUUUGCGGUCAGCUUUCCGGAGAGCCUCCAGGAUUUCAUCAGUAAUGAACGACCGGGUGGACCUGCUGAACCCACCAUUAGGGUUGUUUUGGGGCGUGAAGCUGAGGUCUUUGGUUGUUUGAAGGAAAUUUUCAACCAUAAAGUUGGAGGUCAAGCCCUCUGAAGACUCAUCUUGAUGGGAGGUGAAGAUGACUGCUCGAAUAAACUCUCUGCCACAGAGUUUCACCCCGUACGUUGGAUCCUCCAUGGGCUGAGCUCCAACCCCAGCCACAAGCAAACACACGGCCAUUACCACUGCUUUCCACAUUGUAUCCCAAGCAAGUAAAGCAAGAUGGAAAAAUUCUAGGUUUUCUUUUAUGUCUGUGUCCCAGUUUGCUUGAGCUAUGCCUCUGCAGGUGAUCCAGAUGUGGUUUAUAAAGGAGCUUGUUGCUAUGCAUUGAAGAGGAUGCCAGGCCUUCUCCAACAGAGAGAGAGAGAGAAAAAGAGAGAUCUGAAAAAGUGAUAUAGUGAUAGACCUUUAUGGAAACAAAAGGCAGACCAAAGGUGGCAUAAUCAGCAAAUGUAGAAGCAUCUGUGACCUAAUUGUAUUUCAGCUUAUGACGUAUAUUCAUUUCCAUCGCUGUCCCUAAAUGUAGCCCUUUCUCAAAUUUGAAACAUACUUAAUCAAAGUCUCUGUAAUUAUUCAAACAAGCUAUGACUAACUGAUCGGAUUGCAUAUUGAUAUGCAACAAUUUAAAACCUGUUUUGUAUUCAGAAGAAAAACACAGAAAGGUCACAUUUCAGAACAGGGGUGCUUCGAGAAAGUUUGCAAAGGGGUGACCAGAUGGGAUCCAUGUCCAUGUCUCUGGGUGGCACACAACACAUUUACUUAUCAGGAGUAUUAUAACAUCAAUCAUGGCAGCUAAAAGUGGUCUUCACCUCUCUUAGACAAACAUAAGAAAUCACUAGGCAUAUCAGGUUAACUGACCAGAAGAGCAGUGAAGGUACAAGCCCAUUAAAAUUGGAACGCAGAUAGGCACCAGUCCUCAUGCAAACAGGUAAA